CAGUCGCCGCGGUAAUACGUAGGGUGCAAGCGUUAAUCGGAUUUACUGGGCGUAAAGCGUGCGUAGGCGGCUUCUUAAGUCGGAUGUGAAAUCCCUGAGCUUAACUUAGGAAUUGCAUUCGAUACUGGGAAGCUAGAGUAUGGGAGAGGAUGGUAGAAUUCCAGGUGUAGCGGUGAAAUGCGUAGAGAUCUGGAGGAAUACCGAUGGCGAAGGCAGCCAUCUGGCCUAAUACUGACGCUGAGGUACGAAAGCAUGGGGAGCAAACAGGAUUAGAUACCCCCGUAGUCCCUGUCUCUUAUAC
rnacentral:rRNA from 1 species